rnacentral:rRNA from 1 species
UACAGAGGUCUCAAGGGUUGUUCGGAUUCAUUGGGCGUAAAGGGUGCGUAGGUGGCGCCGUAAGUCAGGUGUGAAAUUUCGGAGCUUAACUCCGAAACUGCAUUUGAUACUGCGGUGCUUGAGGACUGGAGAGGAGACUGGAAUUUACGGUGUAGCAGUGAAAUGCGUAGAGAUCGUAAGGAAGACCAGUGGCGAAGGCGGGUCUCUGGACAGUUCCUGACACUGAGGCACGAAGGCCAGGGGAGCAAACGGG